UAGGGAAUAUUGCACCAUGGGCGAAAGCCUGAUGCAGCAACGCCGCGUGAGUGAUGAAGGCCUUCGGGUCGUAAAACUCUUUUCAAGGGGAAGAGGAAGGACGGUACCCUUGGAAUAAGCAUCGGCUAACUACGUGCCAGCAGCCGCGGUAACACGUAGGAUGCAAGCGUUAUUCGGAUUUACUGGGCGUAAAGCGCGUGUAGGCGGUUAGGAGAGUUGGAUGUGAAAGCUCCCGGCUUAACUGGGAGAGGUCGUUCAAAACUUCCUGACUAGAGUUUGGUAGAGGAAAAUGGAAUUCCGGGUGUAGUGGUGAAAUGCGUAGAUAUCCGGAGGAACACCAGUGGCGAAAGCGAUUUUCUGGACCGAUACUGACGCUCAGACGCGAAAGCUAGGGUAGCAAACGGG
rnacentral:rRNA from 1 species